UCUAGUAUAUUAUUGUAUAGAAGUGAGAUUCUAGAGUCUAUAAAACUAACUUUAUGGUAAGAAAAGUCUUUUGUUUAUUUUCUAGGGUAUCCAUUAAUUUUAUUCUAUUAAAAUAUUAAUUUCUGCUUGAAAACAAUGUGGAAAAUUAAGAAUAAAACAAGUCCCACCAUACAAAUUUAAGCUUAUUUCCUUUCCAGUCACUUCUAGUCAUUUUUGCAUGCACAGAUUUUAAAAGCAUAUAGUUGUGGCAUAAGAAAAGCAACCAUUAUUUUAAUAUUGCAUAUAUAAAAGAUCACAGAGUGUACAAAUUUUAGUUUAAUUUCUACCUGUUUAUUGUUUGGAAAAUUAAAGAGUCUCCAUGAUUUAUAUUUUCCCUAUUAUGGUAUAUGGUAAAAUGAUAUAAAUUAAAAUUAAAAUCUUUGUUCAUAAAGCACAUUUUCUACAUUAUGGAUUAUUUCUUUUGAGUUUAUUCCUAUAAACAGAAUUCAAAAAGUUUUAAAUGUUUUUAAACACUUUAAGAUUUUUGAUAUUGCCAAAUUGCUUAUCUACCUAAAAAAAGUUAUGUGUGAGUGCUAUCACACAGCACCCUGGGCUGCCUUUAAUGCCAUUUUUAAAUUUUUGCCAACUUUACAUGUGAAAAAUUGUGGGUUCUUAUUUUACUUUGCACAUCUUUGAGCUUUUUGCAUUGUUAUUUGUUCCCUAAUUGUAUGCCCCACCUUUUUUUUUUUAAGUGGAUUAUAAUUAUUUUUUAUUGAAGGGUAGUUGAC